UACGUAGGGUGCAGGCGUUAAUCGGAAUUACUGGGCGUAAAGCGUGCGCAGGCGGUUUGCUAAGACAGGUGUGAAAUCCCCGGGCUUAACCUGGGAACUGCGCUUGUUACUGGCAAGCUGGAGUGUGGCAGAGGGGGGUGGAAUUCCACGUGUAGCAGUGAAAUGCGUAGAUAUGUGGAGGAACACCGAUGGCGAGGGCAGCCCCCUGGGCCAAUACUGACGCCCAUGCACGAAAGCGUGGGGAGCAAACAGG
rnacentral:rRNA from 1 species